GAUGAACGCUGGCGGCGUGCCUAAUACAUGCAAGUAGAACGCUGAAGCUUGGUGCUUGCACCGAGCGGAUGAGUUGCGAACGGGUGAGUAACGCGUAGGUAACCUGCCUCUUAGCGGGGGAUAACUAUUGGAAACGAUAGCUAAUACCGCAUAAAAGUCGAUAUCGCAUGAUAUUGAUUUGAAAGGUGCAAAUGCAUCACUAAGAGAUGGACCUGCGUUGUAUUAGCUAGUUGGUGAGGUAACGGCUCACCAAGGCGACGAUACAUAGCCGACCUGAGAGGGUGGUCGGCCAAACUGGGACUGGGACACGGCCCAGACUCCUACGGGAGGCAGCAGUAGGGAAUCUUCGGCAAUGGGGGCAACCCUGACCGAGCAACGCCGCGUGAGUGAAGAAGGGUUUCGGAUCGUAAAGCUCUGUUGUAAGAGAAGAACGAGUGUGAGAGUGGAAAGUUCACACUGUGACGGUAACUUACCAGAAAGGGACGGCUAACUACGUG
rnacentral:rRNA from 1 species